rnacentral:rRNA from 1 species
CCUACGGGAGGCAGCAGUGGGGAAUUUUCCGCAAUGGGCGAAAGCCUGACGGAGCAAUGCCGCGUGGAGGUAGAAGGCUCACGGGUCGUAAACUCCUUUUCUCAGAGAAGAUGCAAUGACGGUAUCUGAGGAAUAAGCAUCGGCUAACUCUGUGCCAGCAGCCGCGGUAAGACAGAGGAUGCAAGCGUUAUCCGGAAUGAUUGGGCGUAAAGCGUCUGUAGGUGGCUUUUUAAGUCCACCGUCAAAUCCCAGGGCUCAACCCUGGACAGGCGGUGGAAACUACCAAGCUGGAGUACGGUAGGGGCAAAGGGAAUUUCCGGUGGAGCGGUGAAAUGCGUAGAGAUCGGAAAGAACACCAAUGGCGAAAGCACUUUGCUGGGCCGACACUGACACUGAGAGACGAAAGCUAGGGGAGCAAAUGGGAUUAGAUACCCCAGUAGUC